UCCUUGAGUCCUUUCUCCUUCUUGCCGUUUUUUCAAUUCAAUUACGUUAUUCUAUCUCUUUCAUAUUUCGAUUUACAUCUUUCGAUUUACAUGAAUUACUUCUGAAUUAUUGGAUUAUUUUUUUUUGUAAUUAUGUGUUUUAAUUUCUAGGGUUUGUGUAAUUUUCAUUGUUCUUUUGGCAUUUGGACGAAAUUGUGGUAAUUAUAGAACUAUUUGUCUUUAAAAUUCAUCUAAUUUCGUAAUUGCUUUUGUGAAAUUAGUUUUUUCCCCUUGUGAAUUUUGUGGUAUUGAAACUUUGUGGAUCCCAAAUUCUAUAGGGAAGUUGAUAUAUCUAUGAACCUUAAUCUUAGAAAUACUAGCAUUGAAUGUCUUCCUAGCGCCAUAACAAAAUUAGACAACCUGCAAAAUUGGACAUUAUGUGUUGCAGUCAGGUUAAAGAGUUGCCAAGAAAUUUUGUUAAAUUGGACAACCUCAAGUACUUGGUAUUUUUUUUGGGAGCGGUUUGACUGAUUUGCCGUCAGGAUUUGGGAAAUUGACAUCUUUGUAGAAGUUAGAUAAAUUCAUGAUUGGGAAAGGCAAUGGUAUAGACUCUCUUCCAGCCUUGAAUCUUGUAGGACAUUAUAUCUCUCUGUCCAGUUUUCAUACCUUGACCAAGAGUUUCUGUUAUAUCUUUUAGAGUUUGGUUUCAUAUUGUAUAUGUUCAAGUACUUUUUGUUAUAUCUCCAUAUGUUACUCAGGGGCCGUGGUCUUAAACUCUUAAUUAUUAGUUUAGAAUUCAGACUUAAAUGAAUGCUUUCGAAGAACAAUGAAUGUUUCGCUAGGAACCAUACUACUUACCCUCUUCAUAGAAUUUCCAGCGGCGGCGAAUCUGGAGGAUGUGGGAGUUCAAACAGUCAUUAUAGAGUACACAAACUGGUGUUAUUUCUGGGCACUCACCUCUACACAACAUUAGGAGACAAUGGGAGCUAUCAUCUGAUCGAACUGCACAGUACCCAUCUACCAUGUUAUUGCCAGCUGACCAUGAUGAUCGUGUGGUGCCUUUGCACUCACUUAAAUAGUUGGCUGUGUGUUCUCUGAAACUGCUGCAGUGCAUGCUUUUUCUUGUCACUAAGUGAUACCAUGCCGCACACGCCUUUCCUUUCCUAAAAUAUGUACUGUAUUAUAUUGCAGACAUUGCAACAUGUUCCUUGCACAAGCUUGGAGAAUAGCCCUCAAAAGAAUCCAAUUAUUGAUAGAACUAAGUUUAAGGCUGGUCAUGGAGCAGGACGCCCAACUCAAAAGAUGGUUGGUACCCUAUAAUGCGAGUUCGUGUUGAAAACAUCAGGAAGGCUUGAACAUAACAGCAACGAAAGAUUGGACAAACUUCAGACUGUAAGCUUCAGUGGAGUGUAGUGUGGCCCAGAAUGAUGAUCUUGAUGGUAAAUAGAGUUUUAAUCUCGCAAUGCUGCAGGGUACUUACUUAAUUACCUAAGGUGGAAUAUGCAUCAAGUCUGACAGACAAAUAGGGAGGGCAGCAGACAAAACUUGGUUUGCACGUCACUAAGUGGAGAGCGUUUCACCAAUGAGCAAAUUGAUGAAAUACGAGACAAAUGGGAAUCAUACUUCACCGAACAUUGUGUGUAAAUAACCUUUCAUCGAUCUCUUUUUGUGGAUGUUUCCUGCUAUUGAAGUCAUAUAUAAUUGCCUUAUUAUAUUUUUGGUGCAAAAUUGUAACGUACGAAGUGUAAAAGACAUGGUUACGUUCGACUUCAAACGUAACUAUUUAGUUGGUUUAUUUUUGUAAACAUAUGAUGGUGGUAUUAUAUGUAAAAAUCAAAGUUUAUUGGAAGUUAUUGGUGGUUGAUGAUA